rnacentral:lncRNA from 1 species
UAAGUCCUUCAGAGAAGAGAGAAGCUGGCAUGCUUGGCAUACUCUACUGAGACCAACCUGUGGAACACUAUCUAGGAAAAGUCUCAUGGAUUAUUAUUUGAUGAAGGUCUUAGGAGCAAAAGUCUCUGGCCCAUGUUAUCCAGGAACAUUGCUGCUGCUCGUGGAUCACUGAGGAGGCAGAGUUUGUGUUCUGGGCAGUUCCCUCCUACAUUUUCCCCAGCUCCAGUCUCUGAUCAGGACAGCACACGUGGAUUAUCUGAUCUCCUGUGGUUUCUAGAAGCAGGUAUGUUGGCACAGAAAUGUGGUGUUUUGUUGGUUGGGGAUGGGGCAGUGACCACUCAUCAUGAGCCAGAAAGAUUUGUGGGGGCAGGGAAAUGCUGCUUAAGGAGCAUUUCAUAAUGUGCAGCAUAUUAAUGUAGCUUUCUGGAGAGAACAAUGUUGGUAAGUAUUUUGAAAAGAUUUUUCAGCCCUUCAUUUGCAAAUGUGGAUCAUGCUGUCUUCUGGGCAUGGAGCAGCUUUGUGUGUGGGUUUGGAAAUUCUCUCAUGUAGCAUAUGCUGGGUAAUGUUGUCAUCCUAAACUGUGUCUUCUGAAAGCUUUAUGUAACAAGAAGACAGAGAUAUGUUCACAUUUUCAUGCUGGGGUCUGACCUUUGUCCUUCCACUUCGAUGUCAUCGAGUAGGAAGAGCUGUGGUGGCAGGGAGAGCAAAGUGCUGUUGCUCUGAAAGCUUAGUUUUACCUCUCUGUACAUAUUUUUUGAGCCAUAUUGAGUGCUUUUUUCCCCCAUGCUGCUUCCUAAUUAUGUGAAGCAUUCACUGAAUGGGCUUUAGGAUUUUUAUCCUUCCUGUUAAAUAGGUGACUUCAUGACAAACCCAUCUUGGCUGAAGGUUACUUCAGAAGAGCCAGGCUUAGAUAGGAAUUCCCAUCACCCCUUUUUAAAGUCUUGAAAUUGAUAAAGAACUAGAAGAUAGUAAUGGUGGAAAACAAUUAAUAGUAACCAAACCAGGAAGUAUCUGAUGUGCAGAGCAGUGCUGAAGUGGGGUCUACCUCGUUGGCUUGGGGGCAGCCGUGGCAUUUUCUUGGUGCUUGUGGAUGGUGCCACCUACUGAUAUCCCAUCCACUUUGUUUCAUUUUUAAACAAUAGAUGUCUUCCUGCAUUUCAGCUUUUCUUGUGGUGAUUUUUCUUUUCUAGGUUGAUUGGUUACUAGUACAGCAGCUUCCCUUUUCAAGUACAAUAUUUUUUGAAAAGUAUUUACAAUACUAAGAACCAGUCCCUACCUUUCAGGCUGACUGGAUUUCUUGAUCAAUGUUUAUUGUUUUAUCAGUCUCUGGACAUGCAUAACUUAAUGUCUCUUGCUCACUAUCUUAUUUUGUUCAUUGCCUUACUAUUGACAUCACUUG